GAUGAACGCUGGCGGCGUGCUUAACACAUGCAAGUCGAACGGAAAGGCCCAAGCUUGCUUGGGUACUCGAGUGGCGAACGGGUGAGUAACACGUGGGUGAUCUGCCCUGCACUUCGGGAUAAGCCUGGGAAACUGGGUCUAAUACCGGAUAGGACCACAUUUUGGAUGGUGUGGUGGAAAGUUUUUCGGUGUGGGAUGAGCUCGCGGCCUAUCAGCUUGUUGGUGGGGUAAUGGCCUACCAAGGCGUCGACGGGUAGCCGGCCUGAGAGGGUGUACGGCCACAUUGGGACUGAGAGACGGCCCAGACUCCUACGGGGGGCAGCAGUGGGGAAUAUUGCACAAUGGGCGCAAGCCUGAGGCAGCGACGCCGCGUGGGGGAUGACGGCCUUCGGGUUGUAAACUCCUUUCGCUAGGGACGAAGCGUUUUUGUGACGGUACCUGGAGAAGAAGCACCGGCUAACUACGUG
rnacentral:rRNA from 1 species